rnacentral:lncRNA from 1 species
CGAACUAACGCCGAAAGGAUAAACAAAAGUUUUACAUUUACAAAAUUUUUGCAUCCGUUAGGAGUCCGCGAUGUAAUGACCAAAUAAAACGGACGUGUAAUAUGCCGAAAAAUGGGGUGGAAUAGGAAUAAGAAAAAAAAAUAAUGUCAGAAUAAAAAGCCAAUAAUUUUGCCUGAUCAUGAUUAAGAGUUGAGCCAAAAAAUAUUAAUGAUACCAAAGAAAACUAACAUACCAAUAAUUGAUUUUUCUUACGCGAUUUUGUUUUCAAUUUGUAUGUAUCCGUUUUAUUAUCAAUGUUCUUUCUGUGGUACGAUUUCCAAUGAUACAACUCUCCACAAGAGACCAAAAUGACACAUAAAGUAACAACUAGAGGUCGCCGUACGGCCUUCGAUAAUAAGCAAAGCCCAUACUGCAUAGACAGCUAUAAAAGGCCCCGAAAUGACAAUGUAAAACAAUUGUAACGAGAAAACUAACGGCC